rnacentral:rRNA from 1 species
GACGAACGCUGGCGGCGUGCUUAACACAUGCAAGUCGUACGGUAAGGCCCUUUCGGGGGUACACGAGUGGCGAACGGGUGAGUAACACGUGAGUAACCUGCCCACAACUUUGGGAUAACGCUAGGAAACUGGUGCUAAUACUGGAUAUGUGCUCCUGCUGCAUGGUGGGGGUUGGAAAGCUCCGGCGGUUGUGGAUGGACUCGCGGCCUAUCAGCUUGUUGGUGGGGUAGUGGCCUACCAAGGCGGCGACGGGUAGCCGGCCUGAGAGGGUGACCGGCCACAUUGGGACUGAGAUACGGCCCAGACUCCUACGGGAGGCAGCAGUGGGGAAUAUUGCACAAUGGGCGCAAGCCUGAUGCAGCAACGCCGCGUGCGGGAUGACGGCGUUCGGGUUGUAAACCGCUUUCAGCAGGGACGAAGCUUUUUGUGACGGUACCUGCAGAAGAAGCACCGGCUAACUACGUG